GCCCCUCCGCGCACCGCCGGCGGCCCCGCCCCGCGAAGCCUAGCACUCUCUCCAAACCUCUCUUGCACGCGGGGACUGAGCACGGCCUGAAAAGCCGAGGACAACCGGACUCACCCUGUAGUUAUAGUAGUGCGUCUGCACAAGAUGCCGGUGGCGCGACUUGUGGUUGCCGAAGUUGGAUUUCUCGCAAACCAAGAUGGGGUCUUGCUAUGUUGCCCAGACUGGUCUCAAACUCCUGAGCUCAAGUGAUCCACCCACCUUGGCCUCCCAAAGUGCUGAGAUUAAAGACGGAGUUUCACUCUCGUUGCCCAGGCUGGAGUUCAAUGGCACGAUCUCGGCUCACUGCAACCUCUGCAGUGUGGUAGAAUGCAGAUGUGGUAGAAAUAGCCACCGCAUCGGCCCACAUCAAAGUUUUAAACAAAGAUAUAUUGGCAUCAAAGAUUUCUCUAUCAGAGCUGCACCAGAGGACUGGAGCAACAUGACCUGUCUCAAGUGGAAUUCCAGAGAGGGCUGCAAUGGGGCUCAGACGGUGGACUGUGUCAGCGUGCUUCAUCUCAAAUCCUGGCUCAGCAGUUUGCUACCUGGGUAGAAAGGGGAAGUUUGAGAGGUCUUCCAGCAUCUUCUCAAUUGCUUCCAGCUCAAAAUAAUCAACAUGCCAAAAUGGCAUAUUUUGGGGUCACGUGUUCUGAUCCCCUUCAAUUCCCUAUCUGAAACUUCAUAGGAAGCGUCACAUAUUAAAAGCUGACUUGGUGGAUGUGAAGAGAAAAAUGGAAUCAGUAGCUGAGUGAUAAGAGAUUUGCAAAAGGAGAGAAGAAGAUGGAUUAGAACAAGAAUAAACAAACAGAACAACUACAACAACAAAACUAAACCCACUUCUCCUUAUACCAUUGAACCAGUCUCCCUAUCCUGGGAAUAGGCCAGUCCAAUCAAAUGGUUGAGACUCAUUGAUCUGAUGGAGUGUUAACUUUGUUUUUAAAGGUACGAAUUAAUCACCAUUUGUCCUAUCUGAUUCACAAAGAAGCAGAAUUUUUCACCAAUGAUUGUGCAAGCUCCUCCUUGUUGGGCAGUCAGUGUAUCCAGGGCACAACUAUUUUGGAGUACAACAGUGGGUAAACUAUUCAUUUCUGACUGGAAUACUUCCAAUGUUUGCAUAGUGGUAUUGAACUCUGGUUCUAUUACCAUGGGAAUAUUUAGGAUCACCUUUUCCAAGCCAUGAAUUCUAAAACUUGGAAAUAAGGUCCUCGACAUUGAAAAGAACUUGGAGUGAGGAUUUAGUGGGUAUUCUAUGACAUCUCAUCUGGUAUGUUUAUGUGGCACUACUAUAUGAAUGAAGGAGGCCAAGUUUGUAAUUUGGCUAGUAUUCAAGGUGGAGUACAUGGUGAUGGAAGGUCCCAGAUAUCUGAGUCAAAACUGUCCUGACCUUUUAAGUGAAAACCCUUUACAUGCCUUGUUGCCACAUAAAAUAAAAAGAGAGAAAAAGACCAGUGCUGUUCAUGGUCAAAGUCAGAGUGGAACCUGCAAUUCUCCAGAUCUAAUGUGUUUCAUGACCCUUCUCAUUGGUCAUACUGGGAUCUGCAUACCUCCAUGUGCCUCUGGAAGAGCAGAACUGUUUGCCAAAUAUCUAAUACAGGAGGCCUGCAAUCUGGGUCUGGAAGCUGUAAGGCCUGGUUUUGUUACUUGGCCAAGUUAUUCCAGGUUUUUGGUCUACUCAUUCAUAAUUUUUGGUGUCGAGCAUCCGAACCGGGAGCACCUGAACUAUCUCAGGCUGUGCAAGUGUGGCCUGGGAAACAGCUGAAACAUUUGGUAAUUUGGCAAAUAUUUGUGCUUAAAAGGCAGUGCUGGAACCAAUUAUGACUUCCUUGAGGGGUUUGAGAAUGCUACCUACGGAAUCCGACUACAGGGUUGGAGUGUAACAUCGCCUUGGUAUAUCUAGGAAGGGUCCAGGACCAUUUCUGUUUUCAAUGCAAAGGGGAAAAUUCCUUUCCAAUGACUUCAACUGAAUUGUUUGACAUUUCCCAGCCCAGACUCCAGACCUGGUGAUCAGAUGAUCCCAGCCCCAGCCUUCAAACCACUGCAAAUAGAGAAGAGACAAGCUAUCCCUGAGAGAGCCCUGCCCAAUCUAUAGAGUAAUAAAGAAAAUAAAUACUGUUAUUAUUUUUAAAAACAGCCCUGUUUGGGGUGGCUUGUUAUGCAGCAAUAGGUAACACGAACAAACGGUAAAGCUUGGAGCCUCUGAAUGCCCGGAGUAAAUAUUUUAGCAGUGGAGGCACAUGAUGUUUGAAGUAGGACUGAACACACUUCGGGGGGGUAGACUGCACAGUCUAAAUUUCAAGAAGUUAGUUUACAUGUUACAUCAUUUAACUAUUAACUUCAGGGCUUUGCAUCUGAGAGUAGAGAAGACCUGGGCCCUGUCUCCGGGAGAAAGCUUAGGGGACAGUGAGCUUGGAAAAGCAGUCCAUCCCCACCAUCCAUUGUGCCAGAGUGGAGGAGUGGUGUGGGAGCCAGAGAUCACCCAUUGUUUCUGCACCUUUCAGGAGGCAAGGGGGAGGACCCGAAGUCCCCAUGGGCCGCAAGGUGGGUGCACACCAUUUCUGCUUCUGAAGUCCUUCCUUGGCUUCUGAGAACAACCCUCUUCCAUUCCCUCCAACCCUUCUGGCUGUUCAUUCUCUAUCCCUGUUGCAGGCUCAUCCUCCUCCUCCUGACCUGGGAACAUCAGGGCUGCUCAAAGCUCAGUCCUGGGCCCUCUUCCCUUCUCAGCUUUAGACCUCCUGUAGCAUAAUAAAAAUAGACAUUUGGUCUUUGUCCUUGGUUCCUGAAAUAGAAAGGCUAAAACUCUUGGAAUUUUCUGAUAGAACAUUUGUUAUUACUUACAUUGUUAGUGUUAUUUUGUUGUAACAUCAUUGUUUUUUAUAAAGAGUCCCUUUUGAUCACACCUGAAUUUAUGCUAAUGAGAUGACUCAGAGUGGGCUCUCUGGACAGCCUCAAGAUGGGCUGGGUACCAGAAACACCAAGUGAUUAGAGGACUGGAACUUUUAACUCCACCCACUGACCUCCAGAAAGGGGCAGGGGCUGCAGACUGAGCAAAGCUGGUGGGGCUUCUGGGUGGGGAGCAUGUGGAGACCCUGGAGGCUGGUGCACCCCGAGGGGCCCUGGAAGUCCCAUGCCCAUCCCACACUCUUGUCUUCUAUCUCUUCCCUUUGCCAGUUCCUGAGUUUUCUUCUUUAUAAUAAACUGGUGAACUCAAGCAAA